rnacentral:rRNA from 1 species
AGCGAACGCUGGCGGCAGGCCUAACACAUGCAAGUCGAGCGGAGUGAUGGUGCUUGCACUAUCACUUAGCGGCGGACGGGUGAGUAAUGCUUAGGAAUCUGCCAUUUAGUGGGGGACAACAUUCCGAAAGGAAUGCUAAUACCGCAUACGUCCUACGGGAGAAAGCAGGGGAUCUUCGGACCUUGCGCUAAAUGAUGAGCCUAAGUCGGAUUAGCUAGUUGGUGGGGUAAAGGCCUACCAAGGCGACGAUCUGUAGCGGGUCUGAGAGGAUGAUCCGCCACACGGGGACUGAGACACAGCCCAGACUCCGACGGGAGGCAGCAGUGGGGAAUAUUGGACAAUGUGCGGAAGCCUGAUCCAGCCAUGCCGCGUGUGUGAAGAAGGCCUUUUGGUUGUAAAGCACUUUAAGCGGGGAGGAGGCUCUCCUAGUUAAUACCUAGGAAGAGUGGACGUUACUCGCAGAAUAAGCACCGGCUAACUCUGUGCCAGCCGCCGCCGUAACAC